rnacentral:lncRNA from 1 species
UUAUUGGUAUAGAUAUUUAAUACUGUGAUGUUUUUCUCCCUGCGCGCAGCUUAGCCAUGUUCCACAGUCCGCAGCAUGUGGCGCCUCUCUCUCCUUUCAUCUUCCGUGACUCCUGCUUGGCAGACUCGCUGUGUCGUCAGGAGGAGUGCUGUGCACGGGGGUUUACAGGGAUGGAGCGGAAGGAGACGGGGCAGGACUCGAACGAUGAGGAGACACCCUCAAAGCGGGAACUGGCCACACGACAGAAAUAGAGAAGGCAGAAAAGAAGAACGAAAGCAGAAUCAAGAUUCAGAUUCAUGUAGACCAGUGGUCGUAACAGACAGACGUCCUCCCACAGUGCUGAGAAGAAACCUGCCAUGAAGGAUUAACCACGAGUCUGGAGUGUACACUGAUGAAGGCAGGGUUAUUAUUAUGGAAUUCCUUCUGUUGGAGCAAUAAGAAUACAUCCUCAGGUAUGGCUGUGAUCUCUUUUCUUCUUGACCUGACUUAGGUCUGUUUCAUGUUUAAUUGUCAAGAAUAACCAGCUCUUCAAUUUACUUAUCUAUUAAGUAAUCUUCCCCUUUAUUUUUUAAAUUUCUGAGUGUACUAUUAAUAUUUUUUCAUAUUUAUUUGGUUUAUUUCAUUUUGCUAUAUCCUUUUGUUGGAUACUUGAUUCAUUUAUUUUACUUUUUUUCUUCUAAAAAGUAGUUAAUUCUGUGAAUUUUCC